rnacentral:rRNA from 1 species
AACGUACGCUGGCGGCACGCCUAACACAUGCAAGUCGAACGAAGUAGCAAUACUUAGUGGCAGACGGGUGAGUAACAUGUAGGUAUCUGCCCUUUGGCCUGGAAUAACACGAGGAAACUUGUGCUAAUACCGGAUAAGUCUUUACGGAGAAAGCUUUAUGCACCAUUGGAUGAGCCUGCACUUGAUUAGUUUGUUGGUGGGGUAAUGGCCUACCAAGACUGUGAUCAAUAGCUGAUUUGAGAGGAUGAUCAGCCACAUUGGGACUGAGACACGGCCCAAACUCCUACGGGAGGCAGCAGUGGGGAAUCUUGCACAAUGGAGGAAACUCUGAUGCAGCGAUGCCGCGUGAGUGAAGAAGGCCCUUGGGUUGUAAAGCUCUUUCGUCGGGGAAGAAAAUGACUGUACCCGAAUAAGAAGGUCCGGCUAACUUCGUGCCAGCAGCCGCGGUAAUACGAAGGGACCUAGCGUAGUUCGGAAUUACUGGGCUUAAAGAGUUCGUAGGUGGUUGAAAAAGUUAGUGGUGAAAUCCCAGAGCUUAACUCUGGAACUGCCAUUAAAACUUUUCAGCUAGAGUAUGAUAGAGGAAAGCAGAAUUUCUAGUGUAGAGGUGAAAUUCGUAGAUAUUAGAAAGAAUACCAAUUGCGAAGGCAGCUUUCUGGAUCAUUACUGACACUGAGGAACGAAAGCAUGGGUAGCGAAGAGGAUUAGAUACCCUCGUAGUCCAUGCCGUAAACGAUGUGUGUUAGACGUUGGAAAUUUAUUUUCAGUGUCGCAGGGAAACCGAUAAACACACCGCCUGGGGAGUACGACCGCAAGGUUAAAACUCAAAUGAAUUGACGGGGACCCGCACAAGUAGUGGAGCAUGUGGUUUAAUUCGAAGAUACGCGCAGAACCUUACCAACACUUGACAUGUUCGUCGCGACUUUAAGAGAUUAGAGUUUUCGGUUCGGCCGGACGAAACACAGGUGCUGCAUGGCUGUCGUCAGCUCGUGUCGUGAGAUGUUGGGUUAAGUCCCGCAACGAGCGCAACCCUCACUUUUAGUUGCCAUCAUUAAGUUGGGCACUCUGAAAGAACUGCCAGUGAUAAGCUGGAGGAAGGUGGGGAUGACGUCAAGUCCUCAUGGCCCUUACGUGUUGGGCUACACACGUGCUACAAUGGUAUCUACAACAGGAAGCAAGACUGCGAAGUUAAGCAAAUCCCUAAAAGAUACCUCAGUUCGGAUUGCACUCUGCAACUCGAGUGCAUGAAGCUGGAAUUACUAGUAAUCGUGGAUCAGCGUGCCACGGUGAAUGCGUUCCCGGGUCU